rnacentral:rRNA from 1 species
UCCUGCGGAGGAGAACCAACAGGGAUUGCCUCAGUAACGGCGAGUGAAGCGGCAACAGCUCAAAUUUGAAAUCUGGCCCUCGGGUCCGAGUUGUAAUUUGUAGAGGAUGCUUUUGGCGCGGUGCCUUCCGAGUUCCCUGGAACGGGACGCCUUAGAGGGUGAGAGCCCCGUACGGUUGGACACCAAGCCUCUGUAAAGCUCCUUCGACGAGUCGAGUAGUUUGGGAAUGCUGCUCUAAAUGGGAGGUAAAUUUCUUCUAAAGCUAAAUAUUGGCCAGAGACCGAUAGCGCACAAGUAGAGUGAUCGAAAGAUGAAAAGCACUUUGAAAAGAGGGUUAAAUAGCACGUGAAAUUGUUGAAAGGGAAGCGUUUGCGACCAGACCUUUUCCUGGCGGAUCAUCCGGUGUUCUCACCGGUGCACUUCGCCAGGUCGAGGCCAGCAUCGGUUUCCGCGGGGGGAUAAAAGCUCUGGGAACGUAGCUCCUCCGGGAGUGUUAUAGCCCUCUGCACAAUACCCCCGCGGGGACCGAGGACCGCGCUCUAAGCAAGGAUGCUGGCGUAAUGGUUGUCAACGACCCGUCUUGAAACACGGACCAAGGAGUCGAACAUUUGUGCGAGUGUUUGGGUGUCAAACCCUCACGCGUAAUGAAGGUGAACGUAGGUGAGAGCCCUUACGGGUGCAUCAUCGACCGAUCCUGAUGUCUUCGGAUGGAUUUGAGUAAGAGCAUAACUGUUCGGACCCGAAAGAUGGUGAACUAUGCGUGGAUAGGGUGAAGCCAGAGGAAACUCUGGUGGAGGCUCGCAGCGGUUCUGACGUGCAAAUCGAUCGUCAAAUCUGCGCAUGGGGGCGAAAGACUUAUCGAACCAUCUAGUAGCUGGUUACCGCCGAAGUUUCCCUCAGAUAGCAGUGUUGUUCUUCAGUUUUAUGAGGUAAAGCGAAUGAUUAGGGACUCGGGGGCGCUUUUUUGCCUUCAUCCAUUCUCAAACUUUAAAUAUGUAAGAAGCCCUUGUUACUUAAUUGAACGUGGGCAUUCGAAUG